UACGUAGGGUGCGAGCGUUGUCCGGAAUUAUUGGGCGUAAAGCGUGCGUAGGUGGUUUGUUAAGUCUGAUGUGAAAGCCCUGGGCUCAACCUGGGAACGGCAUUGGAAACUGGCUUACUAGAGGUGAGGAGAGGGGUGUAGAAUUCCCGGUGUAGUGGUGGAAUGCGUAGAUAUCGGGAGGAAUACCAGUGGCGAAAGCGGCACCCUGGCCUUGGCCUGACGCUCAUGUGCGAAAGCGUGGGUAGCAAACGGG
rnacentral:rRNA from 1 species